rnacentral:rRNA from 1 species
UACGUAGGGCGCAAGCGUUGUCCGGAAUUAUUGGGCGUAAAGAGCUCGUAGGCGGUCUGUCGCGUCUGCCGUGAAAACCCGAGGCUUAACCUCGGGCCUGCGGUGGAUACGGGCAGACUAGAGGUAGGUAGGGGAGAAUGGAAUUCCCGGUGUAGCGGUGAAAUGCGCAGAUAUCGGGAGGAACACCGGUGGCGAAGGCGGUUCUCUGGGCCUUACCUGACGCUGAGGAGCGAAGCGUGGGGAGCGAACAGG